rnacentral:rRNA from 1 species
AGUGAACGCUGGCGGUAGGCCUAACACAUGCAAGUCGAGCGGCAGCACAGUAAGAGCUUGCUCUUACGGGUGGCGAGUGGCGGACGGGUGAGGAAUACAUCGGAAUCUACUUUUUCGUGGGGGAUAACGUAGGGAAACUUACGCUAAUACCGCAUACGACCUACGGGUGAAAGCAGGGGACCUUCGGACCUUGCGCGAUUGAAUGAGCCGAUGUCGGAUUAGCUAGUUGGCGGGGUAAAGGCCCACCAAGGCGACGAUCCGUAGCUGGUCUGAGAGGAUGAUCAGCCACACUGGAACUGAGACACGGUCCAGACUCCUACGGGAGGCAGCAGUGGGGAAUAUUGGACAAUGGGCGCAAGCCUGAUCCAGCCAUACCGCGUGGGUGAAGAAGGCCUUCGGGUUGUAAAGCCCUUUUGUUGGGAAAGAAAAGCAGCAGGUUAAUACCCCGCUGUUCUGACGGUACCCAAAGAAUAAGCACCGGCUAACUUCGUG